AGUGAACGCUGGCGGUAGGCCUAACACAUGCAAGUCGAACGGCAGCACAGGAGAGCUUGCUCUCUGGGUGGCGAGUGGCGGACGGGUGAGGAAUACAUCGGAAUCUACUCUGUCGUGGGGGAUAACGUAGGGAAACUUACGCUAAUACCGCAUACGACCUACGGGUGAAAGCAGGGGACCUUCGGGCCUUGCGCGAUUGAAUGAGCCGAUGUCGGAUUAGCUAGUUGGCGGGGUAAAGGCCCACCAAGGCGACGAUCCGUAGCUGGUCUGAGGGGGUGAUCAGCCACACUGGAACUGAGACACGGGCCAGACUCCUACGGGAGGCAGCAGUGGGGAAUAUUGGACAAUGGGCGCAAGCCUGAUCCAGCCAUACCGCGUGGGUGAAGAAGGCCUUCGGGUUGUAAAGCCCUUUUGUUGGGAAAGAAAUCCAGCUGGCUAAUACCCGGUUGGGAUGACGGUACCCAAAGAAUAAGCACCGGCUAACUUCGUGCCAGCCGCCGCCGUAA
rnacentral:rRNA from 1 species